UGAAACCAACAAUUGUAGAGAGGAAGUCAAAUGCAUAACUUCUACUUCUUGUACUUGUGGAAUCAGUUAAAGCUUGAGGGUUCAAUUUUGUUCUUGACCUCAAAUAGCUUAAAAGUACAUUAAAUUGUGAAUUUUCUAUGAACCAUUCAAAAAGACUUGGUGAUAUUUUGUGAUAAAAAUAUUAUAAAAUCAGACAUGAAGCUUGAUCAAAUAAAUGUAUUCAUGGAAGAGGCUCAGAGUUACUUAAGAGAUAUUAACUUGAUGAUAUUUUACAUUUAAUAAUUUAAGAAUAAAAUCACACAUUUAUGGGAAGAAACAUUAUCUUCCUUCCAAAGCUAAAAGGCUCCCAUCCAUCCAUCCAUUCAUUCAAACAUUCAUUCAGAAUUUAUUUAUCAUAGGCCUAUUAUAUGCCAGAAAGUCUUUUAGGAAUUGGGAAUAUAGAAAUAAGCAUAACAAACUCCUAUCUUUAUAUUUGAAGAUAUGUUACUUUUUAAUAAAGAGAGACAGAUAAUAUAAACUUAAAAAAUAUAGAAUAUGUCAGGUGAUGAUAAAUGCUAUGAAGGAAAACAAAGUAAGGAAGACAAAGAGUGAAAGGUAUUGGUAUUUUCUACAGAGUGGUCAGAAAAGGCCUCUCCAGGAAAAUAACAUUUGAGCAGAGGCUUUGAAAGGAGUGAGGGAAGAGUUAUGCAGAUAUCUGGGGGAAGACUGUUCCAGAGUGGUUGAGUCAGAGUGAGAGAAUGACAGUGGCAGGAGCUGAGGUUAGUGAGGCAGUGGGGGGUUAGCAAGUUGAAGGCAGAUAAUAUGGGGCUCUGUGGGCCAUCAUGAGGACUUCAGCUUUUACCUCGGCAUGAGAUGGGAAACCACUGGAGAAUCUAGAGGAGAAAGGGAUGAUCUGCCCUUCAACAGGAUCAUCCAGGCUACUCCGGUGAAUAUAGACCAUAUGAGGGCAAAGAUUGGAAGCUAGGUGAGCAGUUAGAAGGCUACUGCAAUAGCUAUGUGAGAGAGAUGAACUAGGAGAGUAGCAGUGGAGAUCUGAGAUACGGCAAAGUCUAGAUAUAACACAAAGGAAUAGCCGACAGAAUUUGCUUUUGGAUUGGCUGUAUUGUAGGAGAGAAAAAAUAGGGUGCAUUUUUGGGUUGAGCAAAGAGAAGAAUGAAGAUUCCUUGUACUGAGAUGGGGAAAACUGCAGGAGGAGUGGGUCUGAAAGAGGCAAGUUGGUUGCCAUGUUGUGAGCAGCCCCCUUGAAAGGCCCAUGUGAUGAUGAAUUGAAACCUCCUGUCAACAGCCAUGUGAGUGACCUAGGAAGCAGAUCCUGCAGCCCAGUCAUGCUUCAGAUGAGGCAUAUCUGAGGCACAGAGAGGUUAAGUUGGGGACUGAAGUGUGGCUCCAGAAUCUAAGUUUCUAACUGCCAUGCUAUGGUAAGUGAGAUUGACUGACCCCACUGGACUCAUGACUCAUGGACUCAGCUGGUCCUGUGGCCCUACCCAGAAGUGGACUCAGCACACGAGGACCAUUUCCCACACUCCUGUGAUUUCAUCCCCAAUUAUUCAGCAGUACCCUUUCCAUAGCCCCUUGCCCACCAAGUUGUCCAUAAAAACCCUAGCCUCUGAGCUUUUGGGGAGAUGGAGUUGAGUAAUAACUCCAUCUACUGCAUGGCUGGCCUUGUGUCAAUUAAACUUUUUUCUUUACUGCAAUAACAUGGUCUCAGUGAACUGAUUUUGUUCAUGCAGGAGGCAGGAAAAGCCCCUUGGGUGAUUACACAGUGGUUCUCAAAGUAUGGACCUCCAACCAGCAGCAUCAGCAGCAUCUGGAUACUUGCUAGAAAUGGAAAUUCUCUGGCCCUAUUCCAGGCCUUCCAAGUUGGAAACUUUGUGAUGGGGCCCAGCACUCUGUGUUUUAACAAGCCCUCUAGCCUUAAGGAAAACAACUCUGAGGACUUUUGUCACGGACUUGAAAUUCUCAUCUGUGCUUGGACAAGACUCUGAAACAUACCAACUGUGUAUUUUCCUGCCUUUGGUAAAUCUGGAGCUAUUAACUGAUUCUAAAGAACAUUUGACUUAAAAAGACUAUGGAAAGCCCAAAGAAUAAAGUAGAUAAUGAAGACCCCAGUGGAUUAUUAUUAGCAAAUGAAAACUGGAUAUCAAGAAGGGCAAAAUCUUCAACCUUAUCAGCAGAAAGAGUUUAUGUAAAAAUAUACCACAUAGAAUAACUAAAAAAAUAAGCAAGUGAUACCUUAUCUGAGCUCAAAAUAUCUGUUUCUUUGCAAAUGGAUAAAGGAUUUAUUAUAUUAUAGCACCUUGAGGACAGAGACUUUAUGUUUCUAACUACCCAUCCCAGCAUCAUCUAGUUCAUUCCUAUGCUGAACAGCCCCUAACACAUUGCCUAAAUAAAUACUAACAUUAUAUGUGUGCAAUGAAGUAUUCUUUUGCUAAAAGCAAAACUUUCAUAUGGUCUUACAAUAAGCCACUUGUAAGACUAGUUUUAAAUAAUUACUGAUACAAAUGCUGCCACUGCCCCCAAAGAAACCUGAAUAAAAUUAUGUUAGGCUGCACUAAUUUCAGUGUCAAGCUAUUUAACUCUGCUGAUAGUCAUUUUUUUAAAGAUCUUUUGAUCUUUAAAUUGAGAGAGUUGAACUAAAUAAUCUUUUAGAUAUCUUCUAGUUUAAUAUUCUAAGAUUCUAGUAAAUAUAUUGUGUUUGGUCAGGUGUGGUGGCUCAUGCCUGUAAUCCCAACAUUUUCAGAGGCUG
rnacentral:lncRNA from 1 species